rnacentral:rRNA from 1 species
UACGUAGGGUGCGAGCGUUAAUCGGAAUUACUGGGCGUAAAGCGUGCGCAGGCGGCGCGUUAAGACAGGUGUGAAAGCCCCGAGCUUAACUUGGGAAUUGCGCUUGUGACUGGCGUGCUGGAGUGUGGCAGAGGGAGGUGGAAUUCCACGUGUAGCAGUGAAAUGCGUAGAGAUGUGGAGGAACACCGGUGGCGAAGGCGGCCAUCUGGACGACAACUGACGCUGAGACGCGAAAGCGUGGGGAGCAAACAGG